CCUUCGAUAGCUCAGUUGGUAGAGCGGUGGACUGUAGAGAGUGAACGAACACACGAUAGAGAGAAAUCCAUAGGUCGCUGGUUCAAAUCCGGCUCGAAGGA
rnacentral:tRNA from 1 species